AUGGGCAUGGGGUGGAAAGUUCUGAGCGAUGUGAAGCCGUACCUGGCGAUGGUGCUGCUGCAGGUGGGGUUCGCCGGGAUGUACAUCGUCGCCGUGGCGUCCCUCAAGCGCGGGAUGAGCCACUUCGUGCUCGUGGUCUACCGGAACCUCGUCGCCACCGCCGUCAUGGCGCCCUUCGCCCUCUACUUCGAGAGGGGACUGAGGCCAAAGAUGACAAUCACCAUCUUCAUCAAGAUCAUGGGGCUCGCAUUCCUCGAGCCUGUGCUUGACCAGAACCUCUACUACAUGGGCGCGAAGCUGACCUCGGCGGGGUUCGGGGCGGCGCUGAUCAACAUCCUCCCGGCCGUCACCUUCAUGCUGGCGCUCAUCAUGCGCAUGGAGAAGGUGCGGCUGCGGAGCCUGCACAGCCAGGCCAAGAUCGCCGGCACGGUCCUCACGGUGGCCGGCGCCGUGCUCAUGAUCCUCUACCACGGCCCCACUGUGCAAUUUCCCUGGACCAAGGGCCAGCAUCACGCGGGCGGUGCGGCCGCCGGCGCCGAUGCAGCGGCGUGGCUAAAGGGGACCAUCAUGGUCAUCGCCGCCUGCGUGGCCUGGUCGUGCUUCUUCGUCCUCCAGUCCAGCACGCUCCGGGACUACCCGUCGGAGCUGUCCCUCACGGUGCUCAUCUGUGGUGUGGGCUCGGUGAUGAGCACCGGCGUCGCCCUCGUCGCCGAGCGUGCCAACACUCAGGCAUGGGUCAUCGGCUUCGACGCCCGCUUCUUCACCGCCGUCUACGCCGGCAUAGUGUGCUCCGGCGUGGCGUACUAUGUGCAGGGCAUCGUGUCUAAGCAAAGGGGCCCGGUGUUCGUCACGGCCUUCAACCCGCUCUGCAUGAUCAUAACCGCCGUCAUGGGCUCCAUCAUUCUCAAGGAGGAGAUCACUCUCGGAAGUGUGAUUGGUGCAGUGAUCAUCGUGGUAGGGCUCUACUUUCUCAUAUGGGGCAAGAGCAAGGACAAGGUCAACCAAGUCUCCGACGACUUCGUAGCUGGUAACAGCAAGGGCGCCGGUGAGCUGCCCUUAACCUCGGUGACUAACGGCAACGGCAAGCAGCACGAGCUCGGGAACGGCCAGUUCAACGGUGGCUAUGUACUGAACGUGGAGACGCCGGCGACCAAUGGCCACUAA
rnacentral:rRNA from 1 species